AAUCUUAACGAUGGAUGUCUUGGUUCCUACAGCGAUGAAGGCCGCAGCAAAGUGCGAUAAGCAAUGAAAAUUGCAAUGACUGUGAAUCAUCGGACCGCUGAAUGUAAACUACGCCAAUUCCUCUUCCGAGGAAUAGUGGCACUCCCUCAUAAGUAUAUUUUAUUAUAUUUAUAUUUGUAUAUAAAUAUUAUUUAGAAAGAAUUAUUUUUUUCUAAUUUUUUCUGAAAAGAGGAAGUAUUUCUUAGCAUAACUUUUUCAAUUGUUUAACAAUAGAAAAAGAGAAAUAAUUGUAAUAGAUUAUUUCGCCGAAAAUUACUAUUUUCAAAAGCUAAAUUAUAAUUUAUAUUAUUAUUUGCUUUAUUUUAUGCUUGAAAUAUGGAUUUGAAGAAAAAGGGUAUUUAUAUUCGUAUAUAUAUAAUAAUAUUGUAUUAUGCUGGGAGGGCAUAUCCGCCGAAUUUAAGCAUAUAAUUAAGCGGAAGAAAAGAAAAUAACAAUGAUUCCUUUAGUAACGGCGAGUGAACAAGGAAAAGCUCAAAAGGAAAAUCCGCUUCGUGGUGAAAACUACGGUGUGGAAUUGUCUGGUUGGGGUUUAUUCCUCCCUAUGCUUUUGUUGGGUACGAAAUGAGUAGGAAUACUAUUCCUUAGAGGGUGAAAGGCCCGUAGUUCCCUACAAUUAUAGGUGGAAUUUUCCCCGUAGAGUCGUGUUCUUUGAGAUUGGAGCACAAAUGCGUGUGAUACAUUUCACAUAAAGCUAAAUAUUUGUAGGAGACCGAUAGCAAACAAGUACCGUGAGGGAAAGAUGAAAUAGUACUCAGGAAUGAGGCUUAAAUAGUACCUGAAAUCGUUAAGAUGGAACGGAUUGAGAGAGAAAUAACGUAAGAUGGGAUUUAUUUCCCUGCUCCCCCGGAGCACGUUUUAAUUCCUAUCUUAUUAAAAGGAGCAUCAGUAAAAUAUAGCAUUUGCAUUAUAGUUAAACAGUUAUCUUUGCUCCGGCAAAGACAUCCUAUCUGCUUCCGCUAAUAUGGUCGUAGAAAUAACUAUUCUUGCUUGCUACAUUUACUGAGGACCCCCAAUGCCGGGGCAAUGCCCCGGUCAUUUACGUUGCUUCUAAAAAGUACUUUCUUAACCCACUCGUCUUGAAACACGGACCAAGGAGUCUAACAAAUGUGCGAGCGUAUAUAAUUUGAACUAUAACAAAGAAUGAAAAUUCUUAAUGUACGCGUAAUUAAUGUAAUUAAUUGGUAGAAUUUUAGGGUGCUCCCUAAAAUGCAUACCAUGCCGGUUGGCGAUUAUGCUUAAUUGAGUAUGAGUAUAUUUGUUAGGACCCGAGAGGCUUUGAACUAAGCGUGAUGAGAUUGAAGUCAGACGAAAGUCUGAUGGAAGAUCGAAUUGAUACUGACGUGCAAAUCGUUCAUUUCAAUCACGUUUAGGGGCGAAAGACUAAUCGAAAGGCCUAUUAGCUGGUUAUUUUCGAAAGAUCUCUCAGGAUCGCUGGAGUUGAUUAAUAUAGUUUUACGAGGUAGAGAUAAUGAUUAGAGGAAUCAGGGAAAUCGUUUUCCUUGACCUAUUCUCAAACUCCCAAUACGUAAUAAGGGAUUAAUAUCUUAACUGUAUUUUUCCCACCUAUAAAUAAAAUAACUCCAAGUGGGCCAUUUUUGGUAAGCAGAACUGGCGAUGAGGGAUGCUCCUAACGCUUGGAUAAGGUGCCUAAAUAUUCGCUCAUGAGAUCCCAUAAAAGGUGUUGGUUCAUAAUGACAGUAGGACGGUGGUCAUGGAAGUCGAAAUCCGCUAAGGAGUGUGUAACAACUCACCUACCGAAUGAACUAGCCCUGAAAAUGGAUGGCGCUAAAGCGGAUUACCGAUACCAAGCCAUAGAAAGAGAUUUAAAGGUUAAUUGUGGUUCGCCCCAAUUAAUCUUUUUUUAAACCUUUCUAUGAGUAGAAAAUCGUGGGGUUUGUGUAGAAGCAAUAUGCGUGAGCUAUUGUGGAACAUAUCCCUAGUGCAGAUCUUGGUGGAAGUAGCAAUUAUUCAAAUGAGAACUUUGAAGACUGAAGUGGAGAAGGGUUUCUUGUCAACUGUGAUUGUACAAGAGUUAGCCGCUCCUAAGGGAAAGCUGAAAUGCGUUAAAUGGGGAUUUGAUGCCGCGGGCAACCGCGACCACUCUCCCCGUCCCGAAAGGGAAACAGGUUGAUAUUCCUGUGCCGAUAGUAAUUUGGGUAUUGGAGAUGGUAACAUAUAUAUAAAUGAACUCCUUUACGUAGGUCUUACACUCGGGGUGCGUUUUCUUUGCACUUUAACUUUAUAGCCGACCUCGGAAUCAAUUUAGUUGGAGAAGAGGUUUGCCGAAUCCAAUUCGGGGCAAUCUGAUAAGGGCGGAGCAAUCCGCCUUUUUUAUGAUUCCCCGUUUUGAGUAAUAGUAAUUCAUUUUUAUGGAUUAUCCGAAGCCGUAAGGACUACCCUUGAAAAAAGGAGGGAACAGCAAGAGGCAAGUUUACUUGCC
rnacentral:rRNA from 1 species